rnacentral:tRNA from 1 species
GUUAAAGAAGUGUAAUCACGUUGCCUUUUCGAGGUAAAGAAGGACCCUUGGAGAGGUCCCUUUAAUA